GCUUUAACGCUUUUAUAUCUCACCUGCACAUUGGCGGAGAAAACCGGAACUCCAAGGUAGGGCUCCAUUUAGGUCAAUUCAUCUUCGCGAGCGAGAGAAGGGGCGACGCUGCCGAGCUCGGCACCAGGAUUUGGGACCCCAUAAGAAGGUGCGAGUUGUUUGGUGUUCUCUCUAGAUGGCAAGGAAAUCAAGCCCUGAGAUAGAUGAUGAACUUUUUAAUGAAGUUUAUGGCAAAGAGUAUACUGGGCCACCAGGAUCAGCUGCCAAGAAUGUGUCAACAAAGGGAAAUACAAACAAGAGGCCUUCUGCUGGUACUCAGUCUGACGAGGAAGAUGAGCCUCGAGAUCCUAAUGCUGUUCCAACUGAUUUUACUAGCAGAGAGGCUAAGGUAUGGGAGGCUAAAGCUAAGGCGACCGAAAGGAACUGGAAGAAAAGAAAAGAAGAAGAAAUGAUCUGCAAAAUUUGUGGAGAAUCAGGUCAUUUUACUCAGGGAUGUCCAUCUACUCUUGGAGCUAACCGUAAGUCAGCAGAUUUUUUUGAAAGAGUGCCAGCAAGAGACAAGAAUGUAAGAGCCCUUUUCUCUGAAAAGGUGAUAAGUCAAAUUGAAAGGGAUGUUGGUUGUAAGAUAAAAAUGGAUGAAAAGUUUCUGAUUGUCAGUGGGAAAGAUAGACUAAUACUGGCUAAAGGUGUAGAUGCUGUGCACAAAGUGAUUCAAGAAGAUAAGGGUAAAAGUAGAAGCCCUACUAGUUCAAAUAGGAUGCGAUCUAGAUCUCCUGAUGAAAGUCUCAGGGGUGCUGAAAUAAGACGUUCUGAAUCUCAAAGGUCUCAUUCUAGUCCGAGAAAUACAUCACGCUUUCAAAGCAGGGGUUUCAAUCAGGACAGGCAUGUUCAAGAUCAUGUACGUGAAGGUUCACAGAAAUUUUUGAGGGGUUCUUCUCAAGCAAGAGCUUAUGCUAAUGAUGGAGGAAAAGGCCGUCCAGCCCGUUCAAAAUCUCCACUACGCUCCUCUUUUGGUGGUGAUGUGUAUAGACCUUACGGUGGGCACAGUCAUAACACUGGGUUGCACAAGAGUAGUAACUGGGAUAUUGAGAGGCAUGGAAUAGAUUCUCAUUCUGAACACAAAUUUGACUUCCCUAAUUACCCGCAGACCUUAGAAGAACUAGAAAUGGAGUUUAAGAGGGAGGUGAUGGAAUUGGGAAGGGUCCAUGACCAAGAAGAGGAUGAAGAAAACUACAAACAUCGUGAGUGCAUAAGAGAACUGAGUGAGAAUUACAUGAAGAAGCUGGUAAUCAUGAGGGGCAUGCACAAAAGACAGUGGGAAGAAUUUCUUCAGCUUGAUAUCCAAAUGCGGCAGCAAGCACAGCAGACAGCUUAUAACCAGCAAACUUACCCAGGUUAUGAUCAGGCCUCACGGAAUGUGCAAUACAUGGGAUCUGCUUUACCUAUGGAUUCAAGAAGCAGAUACCCAUACCCUGGUGAGAACUAUUCAGCUCCCAGGCCUCAUGAUGCUUAUAGUGAGUUCCAGCAUCAGAGGCACGAAAGUUUUGGGAAGGCAUAUGGACGAUAUUAAGUAGUAUCGGAUCUGGUGGGUGCAUCUAUGGGGAUUCAACAUCAAUGCAGGAUGCUGGUUUCAUGGGAAACGGUGUGAACUGUGAAGUCUCGAACUCAUUCAGAGUGUUAGUCAUGCAUGCUGAAUUCCCAUCUCUCGACUUCCCUGGUAUUGCUCACUUAAUGACCCUGUGCAUCAUAUCAAAACAGGCACAUCUCACUACCGAGCAAAAUAUAUCAUUCAAAUGUUGACACGAGCAGAGCUUGUGGGAUUUUUUCUGGGAUUAACUGGUCGAGCCUUCCUCUGUAGCCAAUGGUUGCGAUAAAAGUUCGCGCGCGUGUGUGUAUAUAUAUAUAUAUUAUGGAUUCAUGGUAAUGAAUUGCCAAAUCCUGAUGCCUUUGAAGUAGCAAUGUUAGGCAUGUUGGAGGUGGGAGGUUGUGAACCCUGAGUCCUUGGAUAUUGUGAAAUGUUAGUGGCCCAAAGUGGGUAUUGGUAAUUGCUUUUCUACCUUUUAUUAGUGGUGUAUCCUUGAGAUGAUAUCCAAUCAAAAUUCACAAGCUACUUCUGGAUGUUAUGCGUAGAAAGAAGACAAGCUGUUUCUGCUGAGGCAGGUAUUGCAUGUUUCUGCUUGUGAUAUCUUAUAUUGGCUUCCCCUGUAUUCGUGCUAUUGCCUAAAAGCUGUGGGGCAUGCAUGGUCCUGGAAGGCAUCAAGGACUUGAGCACAUCUCUCCUUAGGGAGGCGUUAGAUCACAUUGAUGCUUGAUAGCAGGUGACGCUUGGCUCUGAGGAGGGAUAUUCAUCUGAAGUUUCAGCUGUGGCGACGAGCAACCGCUCUCGGUAUUUACUUUGAUCAUGACAUGGUUGAAUAACUAUUUAGAUUUGUUUUGGGUGUAUUCUAUGAGCUUUCAUGAGAAAUGUGUUGCCGUCUCAUUCUCUCGUAUGAUGUUAUCAAAAUCUUAUUAUCGAUGGCUUCUAUGUUUGGUGAACU